rnacentral:rRNA from 1 species
GAUGAACGCUGGCGGCGUGCCUAAUACAUGCAAGUCGAGCGAACAGACGAGGAGCUUGCUCCUCUGACGUUAGCGGCGGACGGGUGAGUAACACGUGGAUAACCUACCUAUAAGACUGGGAUAACUUCGGGAAACCGGAGCUAAUACCGGAUAACAUGUUGAACCGCAUGGUUCAACAGUGAAAGACGGUCUUGCUGUCACUUAUAGAUGGAUCCGCGCUGCAUUAGCUAGUUGGUAAGGUAACGGCUUACCAAGGCAACGAUGCGUAGCCGACCUGAGAGGGUGAUCGGCCACAAUGGAACUGAGACACGGUCCAGACUCCUACGGGAGGCAGCAGUAGGGAAUCUGCCGCAAUGGGCGAAAGCCUGACGGAACAACGCCGCGUGAGUGAAGAAGGUCUUCGGAUCGUAAAACUCUGUUAUUAGGGAAGAACAAAUGUGUAAGUAACUAUGCACGUCUUGACGGUACCUAAUCAGAAAGCCACGGCUAACUACGUG